GGUGAACGCUGGCGGUAGGCCUAACACAUGCAAGUCGAACGGCAGCACAGUAAGAGCUUGCUCUUACGGGUGGCGAGUGGCGGACGGGUGAGGAAUACAUCGGAAUCUACUUUUUCGUGGGGGAUAACGUAGGGAAACUUACGCUAAUACCGCAUACGACCUACGGGUGAAAGCAGGGGAUCUUCGGACCUUGCGCGAUUGAAUGAGCCGAUGUCGGAUUAGCUAGUUGGCGGGGUAAAGGCCCACCAAGGCGACGAUCCGUAGCUGGUCUGCGAGGAUGAUCAGCCACACUGGAACUGAGACACGGUCCAGACUCCUACGGGAGGCAGCAGUGGGGAAUAUUGGACAAUGGGCGCAAGCCUGAUCCAGCCAUACCGCGUGGGUGAAGAAGGCCUUCGGGUUGUAAAGCCCUUUUGUUGGGAAAGAAAAGCAGCAGGUUAAUACCCCGCUGUUCUGACGGUACCCAAAGAAUAAGCACCGGCUAACUUCGUG
rnacentral:rRNA from 1 species